rnacentral:rRNA from 1 species
AAAUUGAAGAGUUUGAUCAUGGCUCAGAUUGAACGCUGGCGGCAGGCCUAACACAUGCAAGUCGAACGGUAACAGGAAGCAGCUUGCUGCUUCGCUGACGAGUGGCGGACGGGUGAGUAAUGUCUGGGAAACUGCCUGAUGGAGGGGGAUAACUACUGGAAACGGUAGCUAAUACCGCAUAACGUCGCAAGACCAAAGAGGGGGACCUUCGGGCCUCUUGCCAUCGGAUGUGCCCAGAUGGGAUUAGCUAGUAGGUGGGGUAACGGCUCACCUAGGCGACGAUCCCUAGCUGGUCUGAGAGGAUGACCAGCCACACUGGAACUGAGACACGGUCCAGACUCCUACGGGAGGCAGCAGUGGGGAAUAUUGCACAAUGGGCGCAAGCCUGAUGCAGCCAUGCCGCGUGUGUGAAGAAGGCCUUCGGGUUGUAAAGCACUUUCAGCGGGGAGGAAGGCGGUAAGGUUAAUAACCUUGCCGAUUGACGUUACCCGCAGAAGAAGCACCGGCUAACUCCGUGCCAGCAGCCGCGGUAAUACGGAGGGUGCAAGCGUUAAUCGGAAUUACUGGGCGUAAAGCGCACGCAGGCGGUCUGUCAAGUCGGAUGUGAAAUCCCCGGGCUCAACCUGGGAACUGCAUUCGAAACUGGCAGGCUAGAGUCUUGUAGAGGGGGGUAGAAUUCCAGGUGUAGCGGUGAAAUGCGUAGAGAUCUGGAGGAAUACCGGUGGCGAAGGCGGCCCCCUGGACAAAGACUGACGCUCAGGUGCGAAAGCGUGGGGAGCAAACAGGAUUAGAUACCCUGGUAGUCCACGCCGUAAACGAUGUCGACUUGGAGGUUGUGCCCUUGAGGCGUGGCUUCCGGAGCUAACGCGUUAAGUCGACCGCCUGGGGAGUACGGCCGCAAGGUUAAAACUCAAAUGAAUUGACGGGGGCCCGCACAAGCGGUGGAGCAUGUGGUUUAAUUCGAUGCAACGCGAAGAACCUUACCUACUCUUGACAUCCAGAGAACUUUCCAGAGAUGGAUUGGUGCCUUCGGGAACUCUGAGACAGGUGCUGCAUGGCUGUCGUCAGCUCGUGUUGUGAAAUGUUGGGUUAAGUCCCGCAACGAGCGCAACCCUUAUCCUUUGUUGCCAGCGGUUAGGCCGGGAACUCAAAGGAGACUGCCAGUGAUAAACUGGAGGAAGGUGGGGAUGACGUCAAGUCAUCAUGGCCCUUACGAGUAGGGCUACACACGUGCUACAAUGGCGCAUACAAAGAGAAGCGACCUCGCGAGAGCAAGCGGACCUCAUAAAGUGCGUCGUAGUCCGGAUUGGAGUCUGCAACUCGACUCCAUGAAGUCGGAAUCGCUAGUAAUCGUAGAUCAGAAUGCUACGGUGAAUACGUUCCCGGGCCUUGUACACACCGCCCGUCACACCAUGGGAGUGGGUUGCAAAAGAAGUAGGUAGCUUAACCUUCGGGAGGGCGCUUACCACUUUGUGAUUCAUGACUGGGGUGAAGUCGUAACAAGGUAACCGUAGGGGAACCUGCGGUUGGAUCACCUCCUUA